rnacentral:rRNA from 1 species
CAAGGCUAAAACUCAAAGGAAUUGACGGGGGCCCGCACAAGCGGCGGAGCAUGCGGAUUAAUUCGAUGCAACGCGAAGAACCUUACCAAGGCUUGACAUAUACGAGAACGGGCCAGAAAUGGUCAACUCUUUGGACACUCGUAUACAGGUGGUGCAUGGUUGUCGUCAGCUCGUGUCGUGAGAUGUUGGGUUAAGUCCCGCAACGAGCGCAACCCUCGUUCUAUGUUGCCAGCACGUUAUGGUGGGAACUCAUAGGAGACUGCCGGGGUCAACUCGGAGGAAGGUGGGGAUGACGUCAAAUCAUCAUGCCCCUUAUGUCUUGGGCUUCACGCAUGCUACAAUGGCCGGUACAAUGGGCUGCAAUACCGUGAGGUGGAGCGAAUCCCAAAAAGCCGGUCUCAGUUCGGAUUGAGGUCUGCAACUCGACCUCAUGAAGUCGGAGUCGCUAGUAAUCGCAGAUCAGCAACGCUGCGGUGAAUACGUUCCCGGGCCUUGUACACACCGCCCGUCAAGUCAUGAAAGUCGGUAACACCCGAAGCCGGUGGCCCAACCCUUGUGGAGGGAGCCGUCGAAGGUGGGAUCGGUGAUUAGGACUUUU